rnacentral:rRNA from 1 species
UACAGAGGGUGCGAGCGUUGUUCGGAAUUAUUGGGCGUAAAGCGCUUGUAGGCGGCACGUCAAGUCGCGUGUGAAAUCCCCAGGCUUAACCUGGGAAGUGCGCGCGAAACUGACGAGCUUGAGUGCCGGAGAGGGUCGCGGAAUUCCCGGUGUAGAGGUGAAAUUCGUAGAUAUCGGGAGGAACACCAGUGGCGAAGGCGGGUCUCUGGGCCGAUACUGACGCUGAGGAGCGAAAGCGUGGGGAGCCGAACAGG